GGAAUUUAAUUUUUAAGUACAAGUGAUUAGGGAGGGAGUUUACAGAAAUAUUCAUUGGACGUCUGGACUUUUCGAACCUCUACUACUGGGUGAAGGUGAGGGAGCUCAACCAAUGAACUAUACCUCAUUGCCAUAUUGGAUUGUUUUGGUGUAUCUCGAAUCUCUGCAUUUAGAAUUCGUGCAUUUACCCGCAUUUCGUGAUAUCAAAACCAUACAAAUAAUCUAAUGGCUUAGAUCAGUCCACAUUAGCUAGCUAGGAUAUUUUUUUUUUUUCUUUCCAAAUAAUGGUAAUGUCGUUACUCUCUUAUAUAUAUAUAUUAUGGCUUGUAUUAAAAAAUAAAAAUAAAACAAAUAGUUAAUUGGUUAUCUUCUUAACAUUAAUAGGAUUCAUUCCAUCGUUACCCUCCUUUAUUUAUAUUUGUUACAACUAAACCCUAUAUUCUUCCAAUAUCCUUUUCUGUUAGUAACUAUAAACAAAAAGUAUCAUUUUUGUUAUUUCAUCACAUUAGAUUGACGAAAUAACAAUUUUUCCCUCCUAAUUACUAAGGAAAUAAUUUUCUUUCUUCGUCUUUUCUUUUUUUUUGGAUCAAGGUUGGAGCUAGUUCUUUGAUGAAAUUUUCAACAAUUAUGAACUUUUUUAUUUUAUUUUUAUUUUUUAUAGUACAAGUAAUAGUCUAAAUCACAGAGGAGGGAAAUUUCUCUCUCUCUCUCUCUCUCUCUCUCUCUCUCUCUCUCUCUCUCACACACACACACACACACACACACAAUUAUGAUGUCGUGGGCGGAGCUAGAAUUAAAGUUAAGAGGGGCAGAAGUAGAAAAUACAAAUGUAUAAAACACCUAAAUAUUCAAUAAAUAUUAUAUGUUUAGAGCUAAAUAUUUCUAAUUGACUCAUGUCUAAUUUGUUUUAAAGGAAUUUUUAACUUGAAUUCUAAGUUGUUUAUUAUAAAUUCUGUAAAUUAUAUAUAAUAUAAUAGAGGAGGGAUAAAAAUAUUGGCGGGGGGCCAGGGCCACUCUAGGUCUAGGAGUGACUCCGCCAAUGAUCGUGGGGAUUCGAUAUUGAAACAUCUAGUCCACAAGUUAACGCCCUUUUCUACUAGACUAAACUCGUAUACAACAGUUAUGAACUUGAUAAAACGAUUAUGCAUAAAAUAUGUAGAAAAUUAGUUAAAUACCCAUUCCUAGACAUAAAACUAUAAAUAAACCCCAUGCUACUUAAUGUACUGUUGAUUUUUUCAAUUCAACAGUUAUAUUGGAUUACAAUUUUGCCAUUUUGGGUGCAAUUUUGAGAAACAGCCGACGUAAAUUUUUUUUCAAAUCUUUUAUUUAAUAACAAUUAUGUUGUAGAUUGAAGAGGAAUAAGAAGAAGAAGAAGAAGAAGAGCAUCGACCAUGGCGAUGCAUGAGCUCAUGACUUGUGGAGCAGCUUGUGCGGCUCCAGGCUCAUCUUCUUCCGCCAAUCCUUUCGGUGCUCUAGGCUACGCUCUUAUCUGUUCUUCUUCCAAGACUUAGGUUCGUCGUCUUCCUCGUCGCUUCUUUCACUUUCAAGUUCUCUUCUCCAUUUCGAAUUUUCAAUCCUCAAGUGGCCUCAAUGGCGUCAUUUUCUCAAGCUUUCAUUUGAUUCACGAGCAGGAAAG
rnacentral:lncRNA from 1 species